AUGAGACCUCAGGUCAGG
rnacentral:rRNA from 1 species